rnacentral:sRNA from 1 species
UUGUCAGAGUCUGUUGUCUUGAUAAGAUUUCACCAAAAAAUAAACGUUUUGUCUCAUCAUCUCCUCAGUUAAUAUUUUUGUGUCCGUCGUAGUGAAUCUCGUCGUCGUCGUUGUCGUCUAAUUCGCCAUCGUCGUUAUUGUAACGUCCCAACAACAAAAAAAAAAUUGUGGUGUGGUGUUUUUGGCUUCUUACGUGAUUGCGUCCUUGAUAUUGCACUAAAACAACAACAAAAACCAAAAAUUAUAAUUGCAACAAAAAAAAAAAAAAAUAAAUAAAUAACUCAUAAAAUCUUGGGGAUAUAUUCUUUUAUGUUGUCUCUGGAGUAACCAUCCGUUGUGCUGUAAUUAAACAAUUUUCUUUUGGCAAAAGCAACACAUUUUUUUGUUGAAGCUAAAUUAUUGCAUACAUUUAAGUGUGACGUCUAGAAAAAGAAAAUAUUAAAAAAAUUAAAAUUUAAAACAAUUUUGGCGAAAAAAACAAUAAUAAUUUUGGUUGAUAACUGAUUGUACUGUCAUCGUCUGUGAGCUUUGUCUUUGUCUUACGUUCUCUAUUUUGCGAAAAAAACUCAGCUUAAUUUUCCUCUCUCUUUCGGCGAUAAGCUUCAAAGUUAUUACAUUUGUGUUGGUAUUUAAUUUAUACGGGACAUUAUUAAAUAAGGCAACAAGACAGCAACAAAAGCGGCAAAUUAAAUCCAUUAAAAAGUGAAAAUUGAAUUAGCAAAAAAAAAAAACUAAAUAAAAUUG